rnacentral:lncRNA from 1 species
CUUGGAGCUGACAGAAUUGUGGCAUGGCAGCUUGCAAGUAGAAGAAGUUAUAAUAAGGGAGUGAUAUCACACACACAGACAGACAUUCAGACACUCGACUUCUAACACAAAACUGAAGGCUGAAGGAACAGCAUCUGGCAUCGGUAGACAAGAUUUUUCAAGCACAAGGAAUUUUCUCACAUGAACAGCUGUAGGUCCUUGCAGAAGAUGGGAGAGUGCCAAGCCAAGAUCCUCUCCAUUAGAAGGCAUCCUGAAAGAUAUGAGGGACAACUGGGAUUUGGUUCUCCUCCCAUUUCUAUGGAAUGACUCAAGCAACAGCACUCGCUCAUCAAAGACAAAGCAUUGCCUGGUCAAGUUGUAUG